GUCUUUUUGAGUUAUUUUUAAAGUCUGACCUGCCCACUGAAAUUUUAAAUGGCCGCAGUAUUCUAACUGUGCAAAGGUAGCAUAAUCAUUAGUCUUUUAAUUGAAGGCUGGUAUGAAUGGUUGGACGAAGUAAAAACUGUUUCACAUAAAUUUAUAGUAGAAUUUUAUAUUUUAGUUAAAAAGCUAAAAUAUUAUUAAAAGACGAGAAGACCCUAUAAAUCUUUAUAUUUUGUAUAAAUUAAAUUUUUUGGAUUUUUUGGAUUUUUAUUAUAAAAAAUAUUUUGUUGGGGUGAUAUUAAAAUUUGAUAAACUUUUAAUUAUUUUAAAUCAUUAAUUUAUGAAUUAUUGAUCCGUUAAUAGUGAUUAUAAGAUUAAGUUACUUUAGGGAUAACAGCGUAAUUUUUUUGGAGAGUUCAUAUCGAUAAAAAAGUUUGCGACCUCGAUGUUGGAUUAAGAUGUAUUUUAGGUGUAGCUGCUUAAAUAUUAAGUCUGUUCGACUUUUAAAUUCUU
rnacentral:rRNA from 1 species